AGAGUUUGAUCAUGGCUCAGAACGAACGCUGGCGGCGUGGAUAAGACAUGCAAGUCGAACGGGACAGGUAGCAAUAUCUGUCUAGUGGCGAACGGGUGCGUAACACGUGGGCAACAUGCCUGGAAGAGCGGGAUAGCCCGGGGAAACUCGGAUUAAUACCGCAUGUGACAACGGGGCGGCUUCGCCCUGUUUUCAAAGGUGGGGACCGCAAGGCCUGCCGCUUCCAGAUUGGCCCGCGUCCUAUCAGCUAGUUGGCGGGGUAAAAGCCCACCAAGGCGACGACGGGUAGCUGGUCUGAGAGGACGACCAGCCACACUGGAACUGAGACACGGUCCAGACACCUACGGGUGGCAGCAGUCGAGAAUCUUUCACAAUGGGGGAAACCCUGAUGGAGCGACGCCGCGUGGAGGAUGAAGGUCUUCGGAUUGUAAACUCCUGUCAUGAAAGAACAAGCGAUGCGGGUCAACAGCCCGCAAAGUUGAUAGUAUUUCAAGAGGAAGGGACGGCUAACUUCGUGCCAGCAGCCGCGGUAAUACGAAGGUCCCAAGCGUUGUUCGGAAUCACUGGGCGUAAAGAGUGCGUAGGCGGCGCGGAAAGUCAGAUGUGAAAUCCCGGGGCUCAACCCCGGAACGGCAUCCGAUACUCCCGCGCUUGAGGACUGGGAGGGGAGUCUGGAAUUCACGGUGUAGCAGUGAAAUGCGUAGAUAUCGUGAGGAACACUAGUGGC
rnacentral:rRNA from 1 species